AAUGGACGCAAGUCUGAUGGAGCAACGCCGCGUGAGUGAAGAAGGCUUUCGGGUCGUAAAACUCUGUUGUUGGAGAAGAAUGGUCGGCAGAGUAACUGUUGUCGGCGUGACGGUAUCCAACCAGAAAGCCACGGCUAACUACGUGCCAGCAGCCGCGGUAAUACGUAGGUGGCAAGCGUUAUCCGGAUUUAUUGGGCGUAAAGCGAGCGCAGGCGGUUUUUUAAGUCUGAUGUGAAAGCCCUCGGCUUAACCGAGGAAGUGCAUCGGAAACUGGGAAACUUGAGUGCAGAAGAGGACAGUGGAACUCCAUGUGUAGACGGUGAAAUGCGUAGAUAUAUGGAAGAACACCAGUGGCGAAGGCGGCUGUCUGGUCUGUAACUGACGCUGAGGCUCGAAAGCAUGGGUAGCGAACAGGAUUAGAUACCCUGGUAGUCCAUGCCGUAAACGAUGAAUGCUACGUGUUGGAGGGUUUCCGCCCUUCAGUGCCGCAGCUAACGCAUUAAGCAUUCCGCCUGGGGAGUACGACCGCAAGGUUGAAACUCAAAGGAAUUGACGGGGGCCCGCACAAGCGGUGGAGCAUGUGGUUUAAUUCGAAGCAACGCGAAGAACCUUACCAGGUCUUGACAUCUUUUGAUCACCUGAGAGAUCAGGUUUCCCUCGGGG
rnacentral:rRNA from 2 species